GGACUACAAGGGUAUCUAAUCCUGUUUGCUCCCCACGCUUUCGUGCCUCAGUGUCAGUGCUGGUCCAGGUAGUCGCCUUCGCCACAGAUGUUCCUCCCGAUCUCUACGCAUUUCACUGCUACACCGGGAAUUCCACUACCCUCUACCGCACUCUAGGUCGCCAGUUUCCAAUGCCAUUCCCAGGUUGAGCCCAGGGCUUUCACAUCAGACUUAACGAACCACCUACGCACGCUUUACGCCCAGUAAUUCCGAGUAACGCUUGCACCCUUCGUAUUACCGCGGCGGCUGGCAC
rnacentral:rRNA from 2 species